AAGACUGGAUAGGAAAAGUAAAGGCAUCUUUACUUUUUUAAAAGACCUUCUUUGAAGGUAUGCUUAAGGAGGGGCUUGCGACACAUUAGUUAGUUGGCAGGGUAAAGGCCUACCAAGACUAUGAUGUGUAGCUGGACUGAGAGGUUGAACAGCCACAUUGGGACUGAGACACGGCCCAAACUCCUACGGGAGGCAGCAGUAGGGAAUUUUCGGCAAUGGAGGAAACUCUGACCGAGCAACGCCGCGUGAACGAUGAAGUACCUCGGUAUGUAAAGUUCUUUUAUUAAGGAAGAAAAAAGAGUGGAAAAACUCCCUUGACGGUACUUAAUGAAUAAGCCCCGGCUAAUUAUGUGCCAGCAGCCGCGGUAAUACAUAAGGGGCGAGCGUUAUCCGGAAUUAUUGGGCGUAAAGGGUGCGUAGGCGGUUUAAUAAGUCUAUAGUUUAAUUUCAGCGCUUAACGCUGUUGUGCUAUAGAAACUGUUUUACUAGAGUGAGUUAGAGGCAAGCGGAAUUCCAUGUGUAGCGGUAAAAUGCGUAAAUAUAUGGAGGAACACCAGAGGCGUAGGCGGCUUGCUGGGACUUUACUGACGCUGAGGCACGAAAGCGUGGGGAGCAAACAGGAUUAGAUACCCUGGUAGUCCACGCCGUAAACGAUGAGUACUAAGUGUCGGGUAAAACCGGUACUGAAGUUAACACAUUAAGUACUCCGCCUGAGUAGUACGUACGCAAGUAUGAAACUUAAAGGAAUUGACGGGACUCCGCACAAGCGGUGGAUCAUGUUGUUUAAUUCGAAGAUACACGAAAAACCUUACCAGGUCUUGACAUUUUCUUGCGAAGUUAUAGAAAUAUAAUGGAGGUUAUCAAGAAAACAGGUGGUGCAUGGUUGUCGUCAGCUCGUGUCGUGAGAUGUUAGGUUAAGUCCUAAAACGAGCGCAACCCUUGUCGUUAAUUGCCAGCAUGUAAUGAUGGGGACUUUAACGAGACUGCCAAUGAAAAAUUGGAGGAAGGUGGGGAUUACGUCAAAUCAUCAUGCCCCUUAUGAUCUGGGCUACAAACGUGAUACAAUGGUUGAUACAAAGAGUAGCUGAAACGCGAGUUCUUAGCCAAUCUCACAAAAUCAAUCUCAGUUCGGAUUGAAGUCUGCAACUCGACUUCAUGAAGUUGGAAUCGCUAGUAAUCGCGAAUCAGCAUGUCGCGGUGAAUACGUUCUCGGGGUUUGUACACACCGCC
rnacentral:rRNA from 1 species